rnacentral:tRNA from 1 species
GAAGGUAUAGCUCGGUGGUAGAAUUUGUGGUUAGCAUGCAUGAGGUCCUGGGUUCAAUUUCCAGUACCUGCA